rnacentral:rRNA from 1 species
ACGCUCGACACCUACGGGUGGCAGCAGUCGGGAAUAUUGCGCAAUGGAGGAAACUCUGACGCAGUGACGCCGCGUAUAGGAAGAAGGUUUUCGGAUUGUAAACUAUUGUCGUUAGGGAAGAGAAAGGACAGUACCUAAGGAGGAAGCUCCGGCUAACUACGUGCCAGCAGCCGGGUAAUCUGAGCGGGCUGGCAAGGC